rnacentral:rRNA from 1 species
CAGUCGCCGCGGGAAUACGUAGGGUGCGAGCGUUAAUCGGAAUUACUGGGCGUAAAGCGUGCGCAGGCGGUUCGUUAAGACAGAUGUGAAAUCCCCGGGCUUAACCUGGGAACUGCAUUUGUGACUGGCCGGCUAGAGUAUGGCAGAGGGAGGUGGAAUUCCACGUGUAGCAGUGAAAUGCGUAGAUAUGUGGAGAAACACCGAUGGCGAAGGCAGCCUCCUGGGCCAAUACUGACGCUCAUGCACGAAAGCGUGGGGAGCAAACAGGAUUAGAUACCCCCGUAGUCCCUGUCUCUUAUAC